rnacentral:lncRNA from 1 species
CAGACCAACAGCAGCAGCAGCAGCGGCGGCGGCGGCAGCAGCAGCAGCAGCAUUAGCAGCAGCAGCUUCUCUCAAUGCUGAGUAUUGAAUACAGAUAAUCAUGAGGCCCAAGACCCUAAGGAACAGUGCAGCCAGGAGUCGGAAGGAGCCUGGGUUUCUGAAUCAUCACAUGGAGGGGAGCUGUCUUCAGCUGGGAGAGCUGUCUUCAGUUGGAUACUGGGUGAGUGAAAAAUAAACUCCUAUUGUUUUUGAGCAAUUAUAAGAUUUUGUAUGCUCGUUACCACAGCUUAGUUUAUUUAAUUAAUAUAAGAAGCAACAUGAUCUCUUUUUCUCUGUGUGUGCUAAACAUGUUCUCUCUCUGUAGGCUGGCUUUCGUUUCAAUUCUGCAUGUAACUCAGUUGUUAGCUGGAGCUUCCCUUUCCCAUAAGGUCUAGGUGAAAUUGGAAUGAUCACCUUAUCAUAUGGGUAUCUAAAGCUUUCCCAAGAUAUUUCUGAAUUCCCAAUGGAGCUUCUGUUUUCUGUUUUUAAAGAUUCCUUUCCCUUUUGAAGUCUUCAGCUCAAAUGGUCUCUCUCUGUCUCUCUCUCUCUCUCUUUUUUUUUUCCUUCUUCUUUUUUUAGAGAUAGAGUCUUUCUUUACUGCCUGGGCUGGAGUGCAGUGGCACAAUCACAGCUCACUGCAGCCUGGAACUCCUGGGCUCAAGCAAUCCUCCUGUCUUGGCCUCUGAAAAUGCUGGGAUUACAGGUGUGAGCCACCGUACCUGGCUGGUCUCUGUUCUGUUCCACCCUUUUUCCUUUUUUUUUUUUUCCUUUGAGUUACACAUGCAUACAUAUGUACUUCACACUCACACAAAUUAUUUAUGAGAGUAAGAGAUUGUAGUGAGAAAUUGGUGAGGAAUAAGUAGAGGAAGGGCUUACACUCACAGGGGUGCAAACCUCAAAUGAAACAGACGUGUCACCACCCUGAAGUCACCUACCACUGGUGAGUAUCCCUGGCCCUUCACUUCACCUGGCCCCAACUUGUCUCCUUAGUUUUCAUUCUUCUCUCUCCCUCUAUUUGUCAUUUUCCCCUUUACUUGUACCAAGAGCCAUCAAAAGCCCUUGGAUAUUCUGGGAAGACUAACAAGUUGGUACAUUGGGAAAUCUAACAAUUGGAUGCUUUUUCAAAUUGCUACUUGGAGGAGAGGCAGAAUCCUGCCUGGGGUACAAAGCAAAGUAGAAGGACCACACUCAGCCUCUGUCAUCCUGAGCAAUUCAGCUCUGGCCCCAAUAUGCACAACUUACUAAAAUAGAAGAAAUGCAUAGAAUAAAAUAGAAUAAAUGGAUUUUGCUCAACCCACCCUUUUUAGAGUUUUGUUUGUUUGUUUGUUUGUUUUAAACAACUAUCUGUCUUUAUGCAAUCAUGUCCCUGGGGACUCACCCCAACCCCAUAUGGCUUAUCAAAGUGUUCAUUAAAAAUGUACCCUUCUCUUUCUGAGUUUUGUUAGCCUAAAUUUUCCAAUUUUCUUUGCAUUUUUGGUGACAUUUAAAUUAUCCUAAUGAGGUUUCACUACUGCUUAUAGAUUGGCAUUCCAGGCAGGUCUACCAGCUUCCUCCUAAUAUAGGAUUGCUCAACUCUUUCUCUACAUUUUAGGAGAAAAACUGAGAAGAUUUCUUCUUUAUUUCCAGUGGAAUGUCUUUUGUCCUUCUCUGAUGUCUUGGCAUCAACUUAUGUUUGUUAUUGAAGGAUUUCCUGAGCAGCUUAUCAUGGUACUUUCAUAUACAAAGAUAAUUCUUUCCCUAAAAUAAAUUUAGGUUCUAGCUGGUAAUAUCAUAAAAGCUUUUUUUUUUUUUUAACCUUGUUUCAUAUGUACUUGAUAGAAUGCAGUCAUUUUAGCCCUGGAACUAAAUUAACUUUCAACUCCAGCGGGGUUGUCAUGUACAGUUGUAUAGGUUGUACACUAAGCCACCCUAGGGAGCACCUUUUACCUAUAGUCUAUGUCACUGGUAAUUUCUUUUUUUUCUUUUUUUGAGAUGGAGUCUCACUCUGUCACCCAGGCUGGAGUGCAGUGGUGCAGUUUCGGCUCACUGCAACCUCCGCCUCCCAGGUUCAAGCCAUUCUCCUGCCUCAGCCUCCCGAGUAGCUGGGAUUACAGGAGGAAGAAAGGGAGCUGGUUAGGAAGCAAACUUGAGUUUCCCAUGCUCUGUGGCUGAGCAAGUCACUUCACCAUUCUCAGGAUGGAAGUGGGGAUGGAGGUGGCAUCGGCCUCAUUUGAACCACAUGGACUAAGAGGGGCUAUGGGAGUAUUCCCCAAAGGAAGACUGAGGGGCGUUACUAGAAAAUGGGAGAAUGGAAGCAGAGUGGGCAAAACCAACAGAUGUUCCCUAUAGUAAAUAAAAAAUUUGGACAAUUAUUAGUGAGCAAGUACUUAUAACAUAUAUGGCACAUGGGAUUGUGACUCACCAGUGUGUUAGCACAAUAUGGUCAAAAACCUCUGAUCCAAUUCAACCUACUCAUCUUAACGAUUUUAUCAGCAUUUAAUAAGUUUGUUUUGGCCAUCAUGUGUUAUAGUUUUGUUUGUGGUUUUGACACCUCAUUAGAGGUUUCAUCAGUGUAAGGAGCCAACCUAAGAGCUCUUCUCACAAGUUUCCCAAGAGAGAAAUUGCCCCUCCAAAUGUGAGGAGUCUCACUUUAUAUAGAUAGCAUCCACACUUCUUGCAGUGGAAAACAAACCUUAUAAAAUGUAAUACGUUUGGUUUCCUAACUUUUUCAUGACCCUGGGGUGGUAGAAGGAAGUGCAAGUUUUAUCACUUGGAUUUAGAGACAAGGAAAUUGAAAUGGAGAGAGAAUUGGGCUCACAUGCAGGCAGCAUGUCUAGCUGCCUCCAUCGUGUGAUCUGAGGCACCCCAUGAGGCCUAUGAUUACUGUAAACCUCUAAAAUAAAUAAAAAAUAAAACAAU